rnacentral:rRNA from 1 species
UGAUCCUGGCUCAGGGUGAACGCUGGCGGCGUGCCUAACACAUGCAAGUCGAGCGGAGAGUGGCAGAAUAUCGCGCUCUUAGCGGCAGACGGGUGAGUAACACGUAAACAACAUGCCCUCAAGAGGGAGAUAACCUGGCGAAAGUCGGGCUAAUAUCCCGUAUUAUCCGGAGAAGGCCUCUUUUUCGGAUGAAAGGCCCGCAAGGGUUGCUUGAGGAGUGGUUUGCGGCCUAUCAGCUAGUUGGCGGUGUAACGGACCACCAAGGCUAUGACGGGUAGCCGAUCUGAAAGGAUGACCGGCCACAAGGGCACUGAGACACGGGCCCUACUCCUACGGGAGGCAGCAGUGGGGAAUUUUGGACAAUGGGCGAAAGCCUGAUCCAGCGACGCCGCGUGGAGGACGAAGGUCUUCGGAUUGUAAACUCCUUUUGCAGGGGGACGAUUAUGACGGUACUCUGCGAAUAAGCAACGGCUAACUACGUGCCAGCAGCCGCGGUAAUACGUAGGUUGCAAGCGUUACUCGGAAUUACUAGGCGUAAAGCGUGUGUAUGCGGUGUCUUAAGUUUGUCGUGAAAUUCCCCGGCUUAACCGUGAAAAAGUCGACAGAUACUGCCAGGGAUGCCUAAAACAGAGGCAGACGGAACUGCUGGUGUAGGGGUGAAAUCCGUAGAUAUCAGCAGGAACGCCGGUGGAGAAGUCGGUCUGCUGGGCCGUAACCGACGCUGAGGCACGAAAGCUAGGGGAGCGAACCGGAUUAGAUACCCGGGUAGUCCUAGCCGUAAACGAUGCUCACUAGGUGUGGGGGCGGAAGCCUCCGUGCUGAAGCUAACGCGAUAAGUGAGCCGCCUGGGGAGUACUCCCGCAAGGGUGAAACUCAAAGGAAUUGACGGGGGCCCGCACAAGCGGUGGAGCGUGUGGUUUAAUUUGAAGCUAAGCCAAG